UACAGAGGGUGCGAGCGUUGUUCGGAAUUAUUGGGCGUAAAGGGCGCGUAGGCGGUGCGGUAAGUCACCUGUGAAAUCUCCUGGCUCAACUGGGAGCUUGCAGGCGAAACUGCCGUGCUGGAGUGUGGGAGAGGUGAGUGGAAUUCCCGGUGUAGCGGUGAAAUGCGCAGAUAUCGGGAAGAACACCCGUGGCGAAGGCGGUUCUCUGGGACGGUACUGACGCUGAGACGCGAAAGCGUGGGGAGCGAACAGG
rnacentral:rRNA from 1 species